CUUGGCAGAGUCGCGGCUUCCUGGUCCCUGGAGAAGCGUAGGAGAAAAGGGUUGCUUCGGAUUCCAGAAGGAAAGGGGGAAGUGAGGCGCGACCGGAACCUGCCCGGUUGAGGAACUGCGGCCCAUCCGGCCCCCAGACCCGCAGAACCUCACUCCCUCCGACCCCGCCGAGGGCCACCAGCCCCAAGCAACUAGAUGAGUGACAAGGCAGAGGGAGAAAGGCCGUGUGGCCUGGGUGAGCGUGGAGGUCUCUCAUGGUGGACCCCAGCUCCGAAAUUUCACCCAAAGUGGGACACAAGUCCAGGACCCUGAGGAUGAGACCCUGCCCUCCCCAAACCGGCCUGCCAGGGCGAUCCUCAGUCAUCUCGGGGUUCUGCACGGACCCCGGGGCUCCUGUCCUCAAACGAGCCCCCUCUUGGCCUGGCCUCGACCCCAGAAGACCCUCGCAGUUGUGGAAUCUGGACCCCCCCCAUUCAGAGGCUCUCCCGAGCUGCUGGAGCCACAAAGACUCACGACCGACAGCUGACCGCGGCCUGGCGGCGCUCUCGCUCCCAACGAAUUGAAUGCUCCAAGGUCGGGGAUGCAGCGUGCCCAGGAUCCAGCGCACGGACCUACCAGUUGUAGAACAGGGAAAUUCUAGACAACUUCAACUAGUUUGUGGAGUAACACCACUCUGUAGUGGCCCGGCUAGCUCAGUCAGUGGAGCAUGAGAUUCUUAAUCUCCACGUUGGGCGUUACUUCUGUCCCGAUGACCUUACAACUAAGUAGAGGUGAAUGGGUCCAUAUAAAUUAAAUCUCUUCCGAAGAAGAAUCUGUUGCUGGUCCAGGGAGGCCCGCACGCGGGAGCUGGCCUCCAGUCUCACCAGAGCAACUUGCUUUUGUCUCAUUAGUGUUUUACUAUAUAUAUUUUGUAAUUUUAAAAGUUGAAAUUAACACAGCAUUUCCAGAUACAGCGCACAGAGCGAAGGGGACUUUUGGGGAAGGGAACACUCUAAGGAAGUGGGAGAAGCAGGAUAAGGCAGGUGCACCGGUUAUUAAACUCUUACCUCGCUGCUUCAAACUCACCCUUCGAGGAGGCCCUGCUUCGUGAGACUGCUUUGCCAGUUGAUCCCUCUGGGUUUUGCGGAGAGGAGGAAUUAGAGAUACUGAAAGGAUACAGGAGGAAAAAGGAACUCACUACUUCCUGUUCCCUGUUCCUACUGGCCCUCCCUUACUUUUUUAUCCAUGCAGCAACAACUUAUUCCAGAAAUCGCAG
rnacentral:lncRNA from 1 species